UUCGUCCAUGGAAAAGGCAGCGCCAGUCGAACUCGACGUCCAGCAGAUGAAAACCAACAGCAAAACAACUUGGGGCUUGGAAGAGUGUACACAAAACUGUAAAUGGAGAAGGACACUUGCCGAAAAUGUGACAACACCAACACCGUCUAGUUCGAUAACACUUGAAUUUCUACAUUCGAUUCUUUCUGAUGCCUUUCGAUUCUUUUUUUCGGCAAUUCUUUCUGAUGCCCAUGUAACAGCUUUUGGUCCACUCACUCCAUCGUUGAUGAUUAAGACAUUGGCGCAAAGUGAAAAUCGUAAAAAUAUGUAGGCGAAUCCAAGCUGAAAAAUAUUUACUUUGCACCGACUGUUAUACAGUCAUGCGUGAAAGCAGCGGAGUUGAGAGUUGAGUCGUUCCAUCUGAGGAAUGGAAAAGCAGAUUAAACAAGUUGGAGAUCUUUAACACUAGGAUCAGCAGUACCCGGGGUUUCGAAAGUCGGCUGGCGGUUGGAUGGGGCAAUGUCCCCGUCCAAUCGAAAGCAAAGAUAGUCGUUCCGCUCAGUCGUUCAUUUGGGACAAACAAGAGGACAUCUGGCGUCCAGAUUUAUCUUCAGUUGUUGGGCGCAGGCUAGGUAGCCGUUUAGCCCCUACCUUCUUCAUAGUUCUUUUUUUGAAGCGUUGCUUCGAGAGUAGGCCUAAUAAGGGACGCCAUUAUCCUUCGAUUGGGGUUUCGAUUCGAUGUUAGCUGUAUAUUUGUUGGCAGAUUGAUUGUUUAGAAUUUGUGAAUUGUGAUGUCUAACAGUUGGAUCGGGUUGGCGGACGGUGGGUGCUUGCAACUAUUUUGACGAAUCUUGAAGCUUAAGAUUUUGAAACCGUGCUGUCCACCACGUCGUCUACGUCCAGAAGAUGAGUAACAUUAUACAUACAAUGUUCUGAAAGGUCGAUUAAACUGAUGAAAUUUAGGAUAGUAUUGAGAUUUUUUUUGUUUGAUUGCAGGCACCUUCAGUAUAUGGAGCUUCACUCAUCCUAUCAUGUAGUCUGCAUCUCAUUUACCUUUGCUGUUAAAGUCAACAUGUACCCUAAUUGAAGGCAGGAAGGGAACAGAUAAUGUUGCUGUAAAGUAUUUGGGUCUCUAUUUGAAGCAAUAUAAUACGAAUUUUGAUGCUGAAAGACUUGGAAUCCAUGCUGUCGACCACGUCGAGAAGCUGAGUAACAUUCUGCUUUUACAAUGGCACCUCUUAAUGAAAGAAACUUGAGCCAUCCAAUCUAGGGCUUCCAUCAAAUCGUGCAGGCUGCAUGGAAGUCGCAUUUAUCUUUGUUGUGAACAUCAUGCACACAUACACUAUUUGAAGGUUCAUGUUUACGUAGCAGUGGUGUUGCUGUCCAAUGUGGUGUGUUGUUGCAGCCUAUGGUGGUGAAAGAUAUCUGCAUCAAGUUGCUGUUCCUUGUGCAUCCGAGGUGCUGCUUUUGUGCUACAGAAGUGACAUCCAAUAUUGUGUUUAAUUGCUAUUUGUGUCUUCGCAGUUUACCUUUAUAUAUUGAGAAGGAACAAAAAAAAAUAGUAAUAUGAGGAGGCUUAUGUCAAACAAAUAAUAAACAUGUCCAGGAUGGGGGAAUGUGGAGGAAGUUGGGGUGGGGUAUUUGGUUAUGACUUACUAAGAGAAGUGAGAUAUAUUUUUAAUGAAAAUGCAGUACUUGGUGAUAAAAUCUGUUGUUAACCUUUUCCUUCCCGUCAACCUAUACCUUCCACUUACACAUCCAUUCCUCAAACCCCAUUAGCACCAACAUUAAAUCCCACAUCCAUUUCUAAAACCCCACAAUCUCCAACAUCAAAUUUACACAAUUGUUGUAUAUCUAUAAUCAUAAAAAUAAAUAAAACCCAUUGUAUAAAGUUGUG